CCUACGGGAGGCAGCAGUGGGGAAUAUUGGACAAUGGGCGGAAGCCUGAUCCAGCAACGCCGCGUGAGGGAUGACGGCCUUCGGGUUGUAAACCUCUUUCACCAUCGACGAAGCCUUCGGGUGACGGUAGGUGGAGAAGAAGCACCGGCCAACUACGUGCCAGCAGCCGCGGUAAUACGUAGGGUGCGAGCGUUGUCCGGAAUUAUUGGGCGUAAAGGGCUCGUAGGCGGUUUGUCGCGUCGGGAGUGAAAACAUCACAGCUUAACUGGAUGCUUGCUUUCGAUACGGGCAGACUAGAGGCAUGCAGGGGAGAAUGGAAUUCCUGGUGUAGCGGUGAAAUGCGCAGAUAUCAGGAGGAACACCGGUGGCGAAGGCGGUUCUCUGGGCAUGUCCUGACGCUGAGGAGCGAAAGUGUGGGGAGCGAACAGGAUUAGAUACCC
rnacentral:rRNA from 1 species